GACGAACGCUGGCGGCGUGCCUAAUACAUGCAAGUAGAACGCUGAAGAGAGGAGCUUGCUCUUCUUGGAUGAGUUGCGAACGGGUGAGUAACGCGUAGGUAACCUGCCUUGUAGCGGGGGAUAACUAUUGGAAACGAUAGCUAAUACCGCAUAACAAUGGAUGACACAUGUCAUUUAUUUGAAAGGGGCAAUUGCUCCACUACAAGAUGGACCUGCGUUGUAUUAGCUAGUAGGUGAGGUAAUGGCUCACCUAGGCGACGAUACAUAGCCGACCUGAGAGGGUGAUCGGCCACACUGGGACUGAGACAUGGCCCAGACUCCUACGGGAGGCAGCAGUAGGGAAUCUUCGGCAAUGGGGGCAACCCUGACCGAGCAACGCCGCGUGAGUGAAGAAGGUUUUCGGAUCGUAAAGCUCUGUUGUAAGUCAAGAACGGGUGUGAGAGUGGAAAGUUCACACUGUGACGGUAGCUUACCAGAAAGGGACGGCUAACUACGUG
rnacentral:rRNA from 1 species